UCCUCCCGUGCGCCCAUCCUCCCGUCUCCAUCUCCAUCCUCCCGUGCGCCCCUGGAGAGGGGCGGGGAGGGAAGGGGGGGGGGCGGUCCGGCUGCGGGACCCCAUUCCCUCCCCCCACAAGAUGCACGGGAUCUGCCCCUCCCCGGCCCGGGGGUUCCCCCCGACCCCUCCCCGCAUCGAGGCGGGGAGCGCCGUAACGCUUUGGCCCCUUAGGCCCCGGGCUCCGGGGCGGGCGGCUGGGGGGGAGGGCGGCCGUUCCGAUCGGCACACGGUGGUGCCGCCGUCACCUCGUGCUCCUCGGUCACGUCGGCUCUCGGGAAGCGACGGAUGUCCGGAUCUCAAAGGCCCCGCUCAUCGAGCCCAGAGGGGCCGCGUCCGCCGGGGUCGGAGGUGGCCCUCCGGGAGAGAUGCAGCCGGCCCCCCCCGCCCCGGCCGUCCUGCUGCACUGGCCGCCUAAUGCAACGGCGGCAGCGACCUGCACUGAUUGGAUAAAUGCAGCGGCAGCUGCUGCGGGGCCCCGUGCUGGUUGGCUGUGUGCUGCUGCAUCGGCCGCCUGUGCCGAUUGGAUAAAUGCACCGGCAGCAGCGUCCCGGGCAGGUCCGGGGCGCUUCCCCGCUUCCGACUGUGAGCCCCUGGAAGGACCGUGUCUCAUCCUUUCCCAGUGCCCUCCCCCACCGAACCCCGGCCUUCGGUAUUCGUGAGGUCACUACGCGCCAGGCGCUCGACGGAGCGCUGGGGUGGAUAUAGGCUGAUUCGGGUGGUUCCCGUCCACGUCCCGCAUGGGGCUCACAGCCUUCAUCCCCAUUUUUCAGAAGGGGCACAGAGGAGCCAAGCGACUCACCCAAGGUCACGCGGCAGACGAGUGGGGCGGCCGGCACUAGAACCGGAUCCCCGGCCCGGGCUCGUCCCACUAGACCACGCUGCGUCCCAGCCCUUAGUACGGCGUUCCGCGCGCAGUAAGCCCUUAGUUGAUUCUAUCGCUACGACGGUGACUACGACCGCGACUACGAUUACGCUAACCACCUCCACAACUACUAGUACAGGAAGGGAC
rnacentral:lncRNA from 1 species